CCAUCCCUCCCCUCGUCUCCCUCCCAAACCUUGCCGCCGGCAGCCUCUCCCCCUCCUAUCCGCUUCCCUCCCACCUCGUCCCCAUCUCUCUCCCGCAGGACGUUGGCAGAUUAGGAGCAAAAACAAAAUCCCCCAAGCCCAACCCACUUCCUCUGCCCUCUUCCUCGAUCCCGUGUCCGCCGCCGCCCCUCAUCUGCACCGGCACCGGGCUUCCCUGCCGGUGACCUCGCUGCCCUUCUCCCGCACCGCUGCCGCCCCCACCCUCUCGCCCUUCCUCAUCUUCUGUCUCUUCGCUUGGCCGUUGCGCGACUGUCUCUUCCCCAUCUUCUCCCGCUUCCCCCCACCCAACCAACACGUUGACAUGCAGACACGCUUCGCCACGCGUCGGAGCGGCAUCGGCGAGCCAUGAAGGGCGGCGGAGCCAUCUGGAGCGGUGGCGGGGGCGGCGGCGGGCUGAUGCGGACGCGACUGCGGCUCCCCGUGGUGCUCCUCUCCUGCUCCCUCUUCUUCCUCACCGGCUUCCUCAGCUCCCUCCUCUUCACCUAGGAUCCGCAGGGGGAGGAGGACGUGGAGCAGCCGCUGCGGAGGGAGCGGCUCAUGGAGGCGGUCUAGCCGGAGAUGGCAUACGGGGAGUCCGGCGAGCCCGCGCCCUCCUUGAUCCCUUACUAGGUCAUGCCUCGUCCCGAUUCCCUUCGUCGCAUUUCCAUUUUGUUCUUCGGGGAUUUCGUUUAGGCUUUGCGGUGUCAGUGACCACUGAUUAGCAUUGGGGACAAUGGAAGAUGGCGUUCGUGAAAUUUUUGGUGAGGAUGCAUGCUGCAUUCGUUGGUGACGUGCAAGUUGCGAGAGUGUACGAACACGGAUCAGUUGCUGCUCUAAACCCAACAAUUCGGAGGAGGAAUGCAUGAGAAGCGAGUCCCCCAGCGAUGCCAAGGUCACACUGUUGUUUUGUUGUGGUUGAUAAACCUGAGACUUCUUUCUAUUCUUCAAGGCGGUUUGGUUUAGGCCAGCCAUGGAGCAGAAAGAACGGACAUUGCUACUUAAGCAAGAGGGAAGACCCGACGAGGCCAUUAUGCUUACCUUGCUCGAGCGCAUCAACCCCGACCAUGGCACCACAUUCACAGUCUUGAGGUAGCCGUGCUGCAACUACAUCAACGCUAUCUUCUCUGACUAGAUAAGGCUUCGGUCUAUCCCAUUAUUUUCUUUUCUUCUUUGGUCGAUGGGCCAUGAUGCCAUUGUGUUGAUUCCCUAUGUGAUGCAGAAGCUAUGGUGUUUUGUUUUAAGUCUGUUGUAAAUUGUAAUUGAUAAUGAUUUGUGUAAAAUUAGUGUAGAACAUAUGUCUUGUUAUCUUAAAUCGUUCGUGUCGUGCUCAAUGAACCAUCAAAGAUUAAAUCGUUUUCUGCAUUCAACAUCUAGAACCAUUCUAGGAGUUUUGGUAUACAUGCAACAACUAUGCCUUCUUGUAUUCUGAACAACCAUUUCUGGAAGUUUUGGUAUUCAUGCAACAGCUAGUCCUUGUGGUUAUUACGGUUACAUGUUACAUGUAGAGAUGGUUCAUGAUUUAGUCCCUAGCUGCUUUCUAUAUUUGUUUUUAUUUUGUUUCUAACUCUUUUGGUUAAUUGUUAGAUGCCUUUGUUCAGCCUGUACGGACAUUUCCAGAAAUGGUGUUUCCUCUCAUGUAAAGAGCUCCAGCCUGAAAGUGAAGAAGUCUGGAGUGUAUAUGUAGUAGGUUUAUAUGUUGUGAUGGUAUCACAUGUAAUGAUGAAAUGAAUUAUGUAAAGAUUGUGCUAUUAGCCAAAAUUGGC